rnacentral:rRNA from 1 species
UACGUAGGGUGCGAGCGUUAAUCGGAAUUACUGGGCGUAAAGCGUGCGCAGGCGGUUCGCCAAGUCAGGUGUGAAAUCCCCGGGCUUAACCUGGGAACUGCAUUUGUGACUGCAUCGCUGGAGUGCGGCAGAGGGGGAUGGAAUUCCGCGUGUAGCAGUGAAAUGCGUAGAUAUGCGGAGGAACACCGAUGGCGAAGGCAAUCCCCUGGGCCUGCACUGACGCUCAUGCACGAAAGCGUGGGGAGCAAACAGG